rnacentral:rRNA from 1 species
AACGUAGGUUCCGAGCGUUAUCCGGAUUUACUGGGCGUAAAGCGCGUUCAGGCGGUUUGGCAAGUCGGGCAUGAAAUCUCUCGGCUCAACCGAGAGAGGUUGUCCGAUACUGCUGGACUUGAGGGCAGUAGAGGGUGGUGGAAUUCCGGGUGUAGUGGUGAGAUGCGUAGAUAUCCGGAGGAACACCAGUGGCGAAAGCGGCCACCUGGACUGUACCUGACGCUGACACGCGAAAGCUAGGGGAGCGAACGGG